CAAUUUUUGUAGGUAUAUUCAAUCAUAUUGGAGUUUAGCUACUUUGAUUGAACUCACUUGGACCCUUGGCUGGGCUCAUCAUCAAACAAAAUUCUUCUCUCUCUCUCUCUCUCUCUCUCUCUGCAUCACCCCAGAAUUAAGUUUUCUAAUUUGGCCUCCAAAAUAAAUUGUUUCAUUCUUUUUAAUUAAUGGUUUUGGGGAAACGAAAAAAAAAUGGUUAGUCACAACUCACAUCUUUCUUCGAAAUCUUGGUUUUCCUAACAGUUAGAUUAGGGAUAAAAAUAUGGUUUAGACAAAAAUACAACCAAAGGGAAAAAGACGUUGGUUGAGCAACUUAGGAUGACUAAGCUCAAAGACAAAUCUUUUCUUCCUUGUCUAGUGUUAGUUAUUAUGAUCUUAUCUGUCUUGCUUUUCCCAUUUUCAAUUGUUGUAGUGGUAAACUUUAAUUUAAGAAAGCUUUCCUGAUAAACUGGGAUUUGGGUUUUUUUUUUUUUUUUGUCACUUUUGUGGUAGAUUAUCAAGAGUUCUUACAUGAGCUACGAAUAAAUCGUGAUAUAAAUUGGAAUUUACCAUAGUAAAAGAAUUCAAUCAACCCUUGUUAUUUUAUGUGAAAAAAGCUCGAAUUAGUUUUGUAUUGAAGUCCCCAAUUUCUUACAGCGCUAAGGACAAUUAUCUAUUGUAGAGAAAAAAAAAAAAGAAGAAAACUGUUCUCAAGUCCUUUAAUUUUUUUAAAGGGUAUUCUAUACUAAGGAUAAAAACAUGUCGUUUGUUAAAUUUUUAUAUUUUAUAAAUCAUUUAUAAAAAAAUUAUUAAUAAAAAAAUUGAAUUUAGAUUUUAUAAACGAAAAUUUUCUACGUCAAACUUUUUAUUUUUUAUUUUUGAGGCAAUCUCCUUUAUUAUUAUGUCAUGAAUCUACAAACUCGUUAUUGUAAUAUAUAAGAAUUUUUUUGCCCAAAAUACAAUAUAAGAAUUUGAUCAACAAAUUAUUGCGGCAACAUAUAAAGCCAAUAAUUGAGACAAUAAUAUUGAUAUAGAAUACCAUAUUUUUCAAAAGCUAUUGAUAUUAGAAAACAAAGUUGAUUAAAGAAAAAAAAAAGUUGAAAUUAAAGUAUGGUGUCUCCACGUAAUCCCCUAUGAUUGGAAACUUUAUAAUCAAAGAGGGCGGCCCGACUUGCUACAAUGCUUGACUUUGAGAUGAGUGGUCCAAAUUAUCUAUGGGUAGCACUGGAAAAACCAGAAAUUCCUUUUCUUCCUUUUAAUUUGCUUAUAAAUUGACCACAAACAUAUGCACAAAAAUGAAAUAGAGUCAUUUUUUAAUCCUCAGUAAAGGCUGCCCUAUUAAUUUAUUUAUUUAAAUCUUUUAAUAUGUAUUUGGUACAUAAGGUUAUAAUAAAAUAAAAUAAAGUAAUAUUAUAAUUAAUGUUAAAUUAAAUAAUAUCAUAUUAUUUUUUAAUAUAUAUAAAAAUUAAGAUAAAAUAAUUUAUUUAUUAAUCAAAAUUAUUAUUUUUUAAGUCUAUAUUAUUUAAAUUAUUGUAAUUUUUAAAGAUAUAAUAUAAUAUAUAAAUUUAAUCUCAUGGAUUAAAUAUAAUUAUUUUCGCUUUAGGAUGAUUAAAUUACUCUAUGUCAAGAAAAUGAUUAAUUCUUCUUACAAUCUUAUCUAUUUGUUUAAAUACAAAUAAAUUAUAGUAUAAAAUGAUUGUUAUCCAUACAUCAACCAUGAUCUUAGAGAAUUAAUUUAGAUUAAAAUAAUAAAAAAAUUUUAAAAUUUAGAAUUUUACUCUAAAAACUUAUAUACUUUUAUUACACCUAAAUAAAUAUUUAAUAUUUAAUUAACACCCAAAUAAGUCAUUAACAUUUAAUUUAUACCCAAAUAAUCUAUUAACUUUUAAUUUGUACUUAAAUAAACUCUUAAUAUAAAUUAAUCUUUCAUUUGAAAUAAGAUUUAUUUUGAUACAAUUAAAAAAUAGAUAUUUCUUUGGCUAUAAUAAAAGUAUAAGAAUUUAUUUAUAAAAGUAGAAUAGUUUAAGGUUUUUUAGUAUUUUAGCUUAAAUUUACAUAAUUGAAGGUUCUUUAUUUUUUUUUUUUUAUAUUUAAAAUUAUCAAAAUUUUAAUUUUACCAUUGAAACUAAAAAUUUAGUAUUCUUUUUAUAAUUUGAUUAGAAUAUCUCAAGUUUUAUUUGAAUCUAAUUUUUUAAGCAAUUUUAAAGGCCUACUCCCAUGUAUCAAUAUGGUGCACUUAAACUGUUAUUUUCACAUAUUUCUCACAAAAAAUCCAAUCUUGAUUAAAAAAAAAAUUUUCUCUCGUUUUUUCUUUUUUUUUUUUUUGAGUUUACAACAUUGAACAUCAAAGGGGCUUUCCUUGGGAUAUAACCACACAUUUUGAUAUGCAUAAAAUGCAAAAUUAAUAUAAUUGGAUAAAUAAAAACUCCACUAGUUUAAAAGGAUAACUUGAAGUACACAACGACAGAAACUUUUAGCAAUUUUAUCCAUACUAGGUUGAUCAUGUAAUAAAAGUAUAUUUGAAUGAAUGAAACGCUGCAAUAAAAAUAUGGAUCCAAUAAAAAAAAAUCAAUACAUUGAUUAAUAAGAACUUUCACUACGAUGCAUUGAUUAUCUAAAUAUAACUUUAAAUUUAUUGGCAAAAAAUUCAAAAAUUAAAAUUUAAAACUCAAAAUUUAAUUUAAUGAUUCAUAAAACUACUUUUAAAAUAUAAUAUUUAAUAUUUAAAAUUUAAAUAUUAAUAUUUAUAAUUUUUCAUUUUCAAACUAUGAUUUUUUAAAAAAUUAUCAAAUCCAAAACCUUAAACUUCUUUAAAAUUUAAAAGAAAAGGUACCACCACUUAAAUGGUCGUUGGGUUAAAGUAUGAUCCAUUUUGUUUUCACAAUUAAACAGAAAACCUUUGGGAAGAGGAAAGGGAUAAAAUCAAAUCCAACACCACCACACGGUGCAAUGGCUUUCUUUGUAAAAUCUGUGUUCACACAGCCAAUGAGAUUUUACUUACUAUUUAUUCAAUCUCAAGCUGAUAGAAGCAGUGGCAAUAGUCAUGCAGUUAGCUCAAAGAUUCCUGGAAGUUCAGUUCACCUUCAAGAUAACAAUACUUUUUUAUGCCAUUCCCUCCUUUUUCUCCGUUGAGAGAAUAAAAGGAGAGAACCCUUUGUUUUUUUCUUGCACACAAAGCAAAAUGGCCCCAAACCUUGACUUUUCAAUUGCCAUCUUAGGCUUUGCUUCAUCCCCCCCACCUUUUUCUCUCCUCUUUCUCUCUCUCAUCAUCCAAAGAAUAAAAGACAAAAACCCGAUUAAGUACCUUCACGUGUCCGUGCAAAGCUAGCUUUUAUAUUUUGUCCUGAGAUAAGGUUGUUUUAUGAUUGGAAAAAAUAUUUGUGUCUGACAUUAUUAAAAUACAUUGGAUAUGGUCUAGAAUUCAAAUGGUUAAGAAAUUGGUUGGUGAGUCGGGGAUUUUGUGGUCCAUUUCUUUCUUACUUUGUUCUUUUCUUCGAUAUAUAUAUAUAAAUAAAUGUUAGGGUGGGGAUAUGCUGCCAGGUUUAUGCCUUGUCGAUAAGAUUGGUAAGAGUCAAACUUAUCCUGACUAUGGUUUAAUAACAAAUUAUAUGGAUAAAUGAUGAUAAGUUUGAUAUGUAUUUGUACAUUUUAACAAUUGUUUAGAUUCUCACAUAAAAAUAAUAUUUUAGAUCCAAAUUAAGGCUUUUCAUAUGGAAUAAAAUUUACUCUUAAAUCUCAUUUGAGAUAGAAUAAACCAACUAAGUUAAAUCUAAUUAUUAUAAUCAAAGACAAAAAAAUUAACACUUAAAAUUACUCAUUUUUUUUUUUUACUUAUUCCUUAUUUAUUUGAGAAAAUUUGCUUCACUACUUAAAAGUAGUGAAAAUUUUCAUUACU
rnacentral:lncRNA from 1 species